GGCGAUGGAGUCCAGUGGUAGAACACUUGCUUAGUGUACAAGAGGCCCUGGGUUAAACCCCAGCAUCACUA
rnacentral:tRNA from 1 species